GACUACGGCCAUACCACCCUGAACACUCCCGAUCUCAUCUGAUCUCGGAAGCUAAGCAGGGUCGGGCCCAGUUAGUACUUGGAUGGGAAAAAUGGUGAACUAUUACCUUUUGUAACAACCUGAAUGGAACUGGAGACC
rnacentral:rRNA from 1 species